GCCGCGCAGCUGGUGCGGUUUGCCUAGCUGCCUAAGGAGGCGGAGCUGUACCAGGCUCCAGGACCCGGCACCUAGCCACAAAGUUUUCGGGGUGGGUGUGACUCCGUCCUAGAAAGCUAUUAGCAAUGAUGCUGUUGUUGUGGGUCUGGGGGUCGUUCAGAAAUGGGUGUCUGUUGCUGUAGGCAUUUACGGCGACGCCCCAUCGUGGCUGCGGAAGAUCAGAGCGACACGGGACCCUCACCACGCAGGAUCGGAGCCCUUCUGUGAGUCUCGACCCAGACUGCACAAGAGGAAGGGAACGCCUGAAGGAGGUGGCGGGGCCCCCGGAGCGGACCCCUUCCGGACUCGAGAUGCCUCCGGUGAGGGCAAACAGUCGCGGGGUCACCGGCGUGAGACCGCAAACCCGAAGGUUGAGAGAAGAGGUGGCCCCGAGGCCCCGGCGCCCCCAGGCCGAGCGACGGCCUCUGCUGUGACCCCUUGCCCGAGUCAUUCGGAUUUGUGGCCGCUUUGAGUGUCUCUAAGCCGGUGGCGUGAAUGAAGAGUAGGAGAGACAGGUCAGAGACCCACAUGCCAGUUAACAAGCAGUCCCUCACCGCGCUUCUUCUGCGACUGUUGCUCAGGUUUCUCUGUGGAGCCCUGGCUGUCCUGAAACUCCAGCUGCAGACCAGACUGGCCUUGAACUCAGAAAUCUGCCUAUCUCCCAAGUGCUAGGAUUAAAUGUGUAGGCCACCAAUACCUGUCUGAAGUUUAAAAUUCUAAAACUCUUCUACCUGUGAUUCCUGCUCCCUAACAAAACCAACUGAAUUUCCCAGUAAUCGCUGGAUGUCACUCAAUGGCCAUAAAGGGUUUGUUUGUUUGUUUGCUUUUUUUUUCAAUGAACAAGCCAUACCUCUCUAUCAGUCACCUUUGAGCUUGUAUAGAUAGGGAGAUGGGCCAGACUUGAGAGGCUACGCAUUGUUCAGUCUUUUGCUGCAUUUAGUAAACUCAUAUCCUUUAUCAAAUUCUGAAUCUUGACUUUUUUAAUUUUUUAAAAACUAUUUUUAAUUUAUUUUUAUACAGUAUUUUGUCUCCAUGUGUGCCUGCAGGACAAGAGGGCACCAGAUCUCAUUAUAGAUGAUUAUGAGUCA